rnacentral:misc_RNA from 1 species
GUCCCUUUCAUGGCGCCCUUCCCUCCUCCCUCUUCUUCUUCCUCAAGCAAGCAGGCCGACCUCCCCUCCUCUGCCAUUUCCCUGCUCCUCACUCCAUGGCCAGCAGAGGACAGCGGCUCCCCUCUCCCAGCUCGGCCUCGCCAUCACACAGGGAAGGGCUGGCGCCCAGAAAAUUCCAUCUAAGCGCCCCACUGUUGAAGUCCCAUUGGCCGACCUCCACUUUCCUGCUCCAUGGCCGCUGAUACACCCAGCCCAGGUGGGGUUGGCCGAGGCCCAACAAAUUAGGGUUGCCCGGAGCCCAACAGUUCAUUAAGCACACCCAACUUAGGGAAAGGCCCAA